GCUGGAGUACAGUGCCACCAUCAUAGCUCAUUGGAGCCUCUAACUCCUGGGCUCAAGCUGUCCUCCCGCCUCUGAGUAGCUGGAAUUUCGUAGUGCACCAAUACACCCAGGUGCAUAACCAGAAUGUAACCAAAAAGGACUAAUUGAAGUAUAUUCUACACAGUAAAUGACAUGUACUCUGCAAAAAUGUCAAGGUCAUGAAGGCUGAAGAAUGGUUCCAAAUUGAAGGAGACUGAAGAAAGACAUUACUAAAUCCGAUGAAUGAUUCUGAAUUGUAUCUGGGUCAGCUAGUUGCUUGGCUGCUCUAAUAAGGAAGGCUCCACUGGUCUUGGUUCCAAGUUGUAGGUUGAGUCUGGUACCACAUGUUCACAUUCUCAGCAGCUAACUGAAGCACAUUUUUCCACAGUCAAAAUUCAAGACAAGUUCAACUGCACAAGGAUAUUUCAAGUUUCUGCUCACUUCACAUCUAAAGUAUCUCAUUGGCUAAAGCAAGUCACAAGAACAACGCCAAUGUCAAGGGGUUCAUAUGGAUGCAUAAUACUGUCACCACAGGGCAGUGAAGAAUUGAGAUCAAUAAUUCAAGCUACCACACUAGCCAAGUGCCUUACACGUUCCUUGGCUCACUACAUGGUAUAACACACAGUGGCAAAUUCCCAUCUCAAGUGACAAUUAGUGCCAACCACAUUGCUGAACCCAGGGACAAUGCUGAUACUGAAUGAUCUACUACUGUAAAAUCUUUUUACUCUGUUGAUGAAGAGGUUGCCAUGCCAAUGUUCCAUAACUAUGUUG
rnacentral:lncRNA from 1 species